rnacentral:lncRNA from 1 species
CUUUCACCUUCGAUUUCACUCUGGAAAGCCCCCGGGACCCAAGGGCGACGGCUGGAAGACAGCCCAAAGGAGUAGAUACAGUGCACCCUGGGAGGGGAAGCUGGGAGAAAGGAGGUCGAGGAGGAGGUGGUCGGUCGCCCCGCUGCUGCCUGGCAGCGCCUGGCACGGCUGAAUCUCAGCCACAGCGCUGUGUGUGCCAAGAGCUGCCAGGCGUAAGUCCGGUCAGCUGGAGAGACUUCUGAGACCGGGAGAGGAAGAACAGGUUUGGCGACUGCUGCAGCUUCGGUUGUCACAAACUCACUGGCGAUCUCUCACGCACACUGUGUGUGAGACUAAAUGGGGGGGAGGAGGUAGUAUUGGAGAGCUUGGAGGCAACUUAGGAAGGAGAGAUUUCAGCUCUUAGCCUACGGUUGGCCACAAUGUCAGUGGAAAGACGUGUAGGGAGAGAAACGUUUCCUCCUUCAGUAAGGUUAAAAAGAAAGGACCCCAAAAAGGGAAAGAAAGACACACACACACCCCGCAGCAACUGCCCGGGGACCCCUUCGUGGUUUCAGAGGGACUGUCGGGUUGACCCUGAGAACACAGGAGAGAAACCUCUAGUGCAAGCCGGUACAGCAUUAUACUUAAACCUAGUAAGGCAGUAAGCUAAUGCCCUUUCCUUUCCGCUCGGAGGCAGGACUGGAUGGAAAGCAUCCAACAUGGUGAAAUAUGGUGUAGAAUGGUCUGUGUAGAACAAGCUCUGGGUACUAAAGUUGCAAGACCAAAGAGGACCCAGGGCUGCCUGACACGCCUCCUCCCGGCUUGUUGGCUUUCUGGCCAGGAGAGUAGCUCCGGUGCACCGCGAUGUACACUACUGCAGCGCCCCCUGCUGCAUAGUAACCACAAGGUGUGGAAGACAGGUCUGUUUUGCAUGCGGGCCGACUGGUUCCAACCAAGAGCAGCACCUAACCAGCAAGCUCUCCGAAACUGUGGCAAGAAAUUGAGCCCCCUGGGUGUCUAGCAGUGGCCUG